UACCAGCACCCCGAGUGGUCGGGACGAUUAUUGGGCCUAAAGCAUCCGUAGCCGGUUCUGCAAGUCCCCCGUUAAAUCCAGCUGCUCAACAGAUGGGCCGCGGAGGAUACUCCAGAGCUAGGAGGCAGGAGAGGCAAGCGGUACUCAGUGGGUAGGGGUAAAAUCCGUUGAUCCAUUGAAGACCACCAGUGGCGAAGGCGGCUUGCCAGAAUGCGCUCGACGGUGAGGGAUGAAAGCUGGGGGAGCGAAUGGG
rnacentral:rRNA from 1 species